rnacentral:rRNA from 1 species
AAUACGUUCCCGGGCCUUGUACACACCGCCCGUCAAGCCAUGGGAGCUGGGGGUAUCUGAAGUGCGUAACCGCAAGGAGCGUCCUAGGGUAAAACCGGUGACUGGGGCU